AAUUCUCAACCUUUUCGGCUUUUCCUAAGUUGAUCAGGCUUGGAUGUGGGAGUUUGCGGGCUUCUUACGGAAGUCGGCUCUCCUUAAAUUCAUUAGUAGGGACCUCUGUUGCCUUAGCUUUUGGUGUGAUAAUUAUCUACGCCAUCAUGUGAAGCAGCUUUAAAUUGGAGGUUACUGCUUUCUAACCGCGUCUCCUAUGGGACAUUCUCUGACA
rnacentral:misc_RNA from 1 species